AAGGAAAACACCCCAACACACACACACACAUAAUAAAUACAAAUUAAACAGAUCGAGGUUUCCCCAAGUUUUAGCCUUGCAAGGCCGUGAGUAGUGGUAGGACCUCCUUUAAGAAAACACAUUAUAAUUUUUAAAGCGCAAGUGAACAACCAGAGACAUA